rnacentral:rRNA from 1 species
UACGAAGGGGGCUAGCGUUGCUCGGAAUCACUGGGCGUAAAGCGCACGUAGGCGGACUCUUAAGUCAGGGGUGAAAUCCUGGAGCUCAACUCCAGAACUGCCUUUGAUACUGGGAGUCUUGAGUUCGGGAGAGGUGAGUGGAACUGCGAGUGUAGAGGUGAAAUUCGUAGAUAUUCGCAAGAACACCAGUGGCGAAGGCGACCACCUGGACUGAUACUGACACUGAGGUGCGAAAGCGUGGGGAGCAAACGGG